GCGGCUAAACCAGCUCGUUUUAUCCAGAAUUUGAUUUUGUUUGGUGUUCGGCGUUCGUGAUGUUCGGGUCCGCGAUGGCCCAGCUCAGCCCAGCCUCCACUGAGUAGCAUUACAAGCGGCCAAUCAACGGUUACGAACAAUCUUGUCCAUCUCAACCACACCCUCGCCGUUAAUAUACCAUCUCGACGGGUCAUCUUUCAGCGCAUUGGUGCCGGCGUUGUAGAUUAUCCAAUUUGGUCUCGAAAACUCAUAGAAACGACAGUGCCAGAUCGAUUCUCAACAAUGUUCUAAACUUCCGCAAAUGCUACUUAUCUCCCAGGAGGAGCUUCAGCUCAAUCGCUCUCUUGAUCACCAGCUUUGCCUUGUGAUUCCUUGGAUAGGUAUCAGAUGUAGAUAACCAUUUUAAGCACUCCACCGUUAUCUAUCAAACCCGUAGUAUACUCAGGAUACCUGUUGUUCUGGUGGGGAUUCAAAUUCUGCUUUUUUCAGCCACUGGACUGAAAAAUUGUAUGGAUGUGAAUCGAUGAAUUUAUGAUCGUUGAAAAUGACUUAAAUAUAUGAAUGCUAAUGAAUCCAAUCUU